rnacentral:rRNA from 1 species
CCUACGGGAGGCAGCAGUGGGGAAUUUUGGACAAUGGGGGCAACCCUGAUCCAGCAAUGCCGCGUGAGUGAAGAAGGCCUUCGGGUUGUAAAGCUCUUUUGUCAGGGAAGAAACGGUGAUCUCUAAUACAGAUUACUAAUGACGGUACCUGAAGAAUAAGCACCGGCUAACUACGUGCCAGCAGCCGCGGUAAUACGUAGGGUGCAAGCGUUAAUCGGAAUUACUGGGCGUAAAGCGUGCGCAGGCGGUUAUAUAAGUCAGAUGUGAAAUCCCCGGGCUCAACCUGGGAACUGCAUUUGAGACUGUAUGGCUAGAGUGUGUCAGAGGGGGGUAGAAUUCCACGUGUAGCAGUGAAAUGCGUAGAUAUGUGGAGGAAUGCCGAUGGCGAAGGCAGCCCCCUGGGAUAACACUGACGCUCAUGCACGAAAGCGCGGGGAGCAAACAGGAUUAGAUACCCUGGUAGUCCACGCCCUAAACGAUGUCUACUAGUUGUCGGGUCUUAAUUGACUUGGUAACGCAGCUAACGCGUGAGUAGACCGCCUGGGAGGUACGGUCGGCGAGAGUUAAACGUACAAAGAAAGUUAGACGGCGUGAGACGAGACGACGGACGACGACGAGGGAGGAGGAG